GAUGAACGCUGGCGGCGUGCCUAAUACAUGCAAGUCGAGCGAACAGACGAGGAGCUUGCUCCUCUGACGUUAGCGGCGGACGGGUGAGUAACACGUGGAUAACCUACCUAUAAGACUGGGAUAACUUCGGGAAACCGGAGCUAAUACCGGAUAAUAUAUUGAACCGCAUGGUUCAAUAGUGAAAGACGGUUUUGCUGUCACUUAUAGAUGGAUCCGCGCCGCAUUAGCUAGUUGGUAAGGUAACGGCUUACCAAGGCAACGAUGCGUAGCCGACCUGAGAGGGUGAUCGGCCACCCUGGAACUGAGACACGGUCCAGACUCCUAAGGGAGGCAGCAGUCGGGAAUCUUCCGCAAUGGGCGAAAGCCUGACGGAGCAACGCCGCGUGAGUGAUGAAGGUCUUCGGAUCGUAAAACUCUGUUAUUAGGGAAGAACAAAUGUGUAAGUAACUAUGCACGUCUUGACGGUACCUAAUCAGAAAGCCACGGCUAACUACGUG
rnacentral:rRNA from 1 species